CUCUGUUCCAGCUCAAGGUGUUUUUUUCAAAAGCAAAGGAUGAAAAGAAAGUCACAUAAUAUGGACUCAUCCAAAGGAUACAACCCUGACAAUAUGGAUCUGCUGACAUUAUUCAUAGUCAACCAGAUUGCAUCAAAGAAAGAGCAAACAGGUACAGUGAUGGUGCACUUAUAAAUGAAUACAACGCAAACAUUAUUUUAUGGCCUUGUAAUAAAGCUAAUUUGUAGAAUCAUAUGUUAUCUUUUGUCUUCUAGACAAAUCCAAAAAUAAACCGUUUGACUGGUGUGAAAAGAACCAAAAAAAACUUUGAAAGAACCCUUAGAGAUACCAAUGAGCCCUUGUGCUCCUUCAAACCUGAACCUAGUUAUCAGUCAGCCACAGUACAGUAUUGAAACGCCUGGUUAUAAAGUCAGAAAACAUCGUCUUUCUGAAGAAUUCAAGUUCAAGCCGCUGUCUCCUGUGCUUGAAUCAAACCUGUCUGAUGUCAGUGGCUCAGAAAAUCAACCGCAACCAUCCUCAACAUCUGCUGGCUCCUCAGAUCCAAUCCAACCAAAACCCACACCACACAUACUGUAUCCUCUUCCCUGCCAACUCUGGGAAAUCCUAACAAUAUGAAAAAAAAAUACUCAGGUUAAUUUUUUUUAAAUCAGCAGCUUUUGCAACACACCUAAUAACUCAAAUUGUCACAGUAUAUGUCUCUUUUCAGAUUGUGUCAUUCUCUCAACCAACAAAGCUGGCUAAUCCAUGGCCAGAUGAAGCUCCCAUGCAAGAUGUGUCACACAACAGCCCAGUGGCUGGAAAUCAGUUUAAGAGCACAGUACCAAAGUGAGUACAAU
rnacentral:lncRNA from 1 species